UACGUAGGGGGCAAGCGUUGUUCGGAAUUACUGGGCGUAAAGGGCGCGUAGGCGGCAUGGCAAGUCGGGAGUGAAAGGCCUGGGCUCAACCGAGGAACUGCUUUCGAGACUGCCAAGCUAGAGUACGGUAGAGGGGAUGGAAUUCCGCGUGUAGCAGUGAAAUGCGUAGAUAUGCGGAGGAACACCGAUGGCGAAGGCAAUCCCCUGGACCUGUACUGACGCUCAUGCACGAAAGCGUGGGGAGCAAACAGG
rnacentral:rRNA from 1 species